GGCGUGUGUCGAGGUGUUGUUGUUGAGGUGUGUGUUGAGGCGUGUGUUGAGGCGUGUGUUGAGGUGUGUGUUGAGGUGUGUUGUUGAGGUGUGUGUGUUGAGGUGUGUGUUGUUGAGGUGUGUGUCGAGGUGUGUGUUGAGGUGUGUGUUGAGGCGUGUGUUGAGGUGUGUGUUGAGGCGUGUGUUGAGGCGUGUGUUGAGGUGUGUGUUGUUGAGGUGUGUGUCGAGGUGUGUGUUGAGGCGUGUGUUGAGGUGUGUGUUGAGGGGAGUGCGGACCCCCUUCAUCCUGAGCCCGGAGCUCUGCUGGGGGACAACGCGGCCCUCCCCCCGGAGUCCUUUACAUAAUCAAUCUUCAAAAGUGUGUUGAGACGCCGUGAUUAAUAUUGGUUUAUCGGGCGACUGCCCUUUUGGCGGGGCGCCGGAGGAAGCCACAGCUUAGGGGACCGGGAGUUUAUACAGCGCCGU
ensembl:lncRNA